CGCUGGCGGCACGCCUUAUACAUGCAAGUCGAACGAAGUAGCAAUACUUAGUGGCAGACGGGUGAGUAACAUGUAGGUAUCUUCCCUUUGGUGAGGAAUAACACGAGGAAACUUGUGCUAAUACCUCAUAAGUCUUUACGGAGAAAGCUUUAUGCGCCAUUGGAUGAGCCUGCACUUGAUUAGUUUGUUGGUGGGGUAAUGGCCUACCAAGACUGUGAUCAAUAGCUGAUCUGAGAGGAUGAUCAGCCACAUUGGGACUGAGACACGGCCCAAACUCCUACGGGAGGCAGCAGUAGGGAAUAUUGCACAAUGGAGGAAACUCUGAUGCAGCGAUGCCGCGUGAGUGAAGAAGGCCUUUGGGUUGUAAAGCUCUUUCGUCGGGGAAGAAAAUGACUGUACCCGAAUAAGAAGGUCCGGCUAACUUCGUGCCAGCAGCCGCGGUAAUACGAAGGGACCUAGCGUAGUUCGGAAUUACUGGGCUUAAAGAGUUCGUAGGUUGUUAAAAAAGUUGGUGGUGAAAUCCCAGAGCUCAACUCUGGAACUGCCAUCAAAACUUUUUAGCUAGAGUAUGAUAGAGGAAAGCAGAAUUUCUAGUGUAGAGGUGAAAUUCGUAGAUAUUAGAAAGAAUACCAAUUGCGAAGGCAGCUUUCUGGAUCAUUACUGACGCUGAGGAACGAAAGCAUGGGUAGCGAAGAGGAUUAGAUACCCUCGUAGUCCAUGCCGUAAACGAUGUGUGUUAGACGUUGGAAAUUUAUUUUCAGUGUCGCAGCGAAAGCAGUAAACACACCGCCUGGGGAGUACGACCGCA
rnacentral:rRNA from 1 species